rnacentral:rRNA from 1 species
CAGUCGCCACGGUAAUACGUAGGGUGCAAGCGUUAAUCGGAAUUACUGGGCGUAAAGCGUGCGCAGGCGGUUUUGUAAGACAGAGGUGAAAUCCCCGGGCUCAACCUGGGAACUGCCUUUGUGACUGCAAGGCUGGAGUGCGGCAGAGGGGGAUGGAAUUCCGCGUGUAGCAGUGAAAUGCGUAGAUAUGCGGAGGAACACCGAUGGCGAAGGCAAUCCCCUGGGCCUGCACUGACGCUCAUGCACGAAAGCGUGGGGAGCAAACAGGAUUAGAUACCCCCGUAGUCCCUGUCUCUUAUAA